rnacentral:lncRNA from 1 species
AUAAAGACAAAGGUUCUAAAUUUUUUAUGAGAAAAUGUUGUCCUAAAAAGGAUCUUUUUCCAAAAAAGGUGCACAUGUAUAACUACAGUAACAAUAGUAUUAGUCGCUCAUAGUAUUACCUCUACACCUCACGUUUAUUGUAAUUUUUUUUCAUUAACGGAAUUGAAGCACACAUUUUAAUGUUAGUUUCGAUCAGAUGUUUUGAUAAAUUAAAUGCAACAUUAGUUACUUCAUUUUUGUUUUUUUUUAUUUAUCAAUGUAGAUUGUAAAAGAAUCUGUUAUCAAUCAUGUCAUUAUAUUACCUAAGCACUGACUUAGUUGACUGUUGUACGCCUAUUUUUGACAUUUUAAGCUAUUUUGUCUGUUUGUUUAAUCCACCAUUUUCUACAUAAGAAAAGGCCUGUGCCUAUUCAGGAAUAUGACAGUUGUUAUCAAUUCGUUUGAUGUGUUUGUGCUUUUGAUUUUGCCAUUUGAUUAAGGGCUUUCCGUUUUGAAUUUCCUCGGAUUUCAGAAUUAUUGUUAUUUUACUUUUUAGUUCUGUGCUUCACAACUGAUGUGUUUUAUCAUUUGAUUUUUACAUUUGAUUAGGGACUUUACGAUUGAACUUUCCUUAGGGUUCAGUAUUUUUGUGAUUUUACUUUUCACACCAACAAUACCAAUGAUAGUCCUUUACUACAACAUUACGAUAGCGUAAACAGCACCAUGAUCUUUAAUCGAAUAAUGC